AACAAGGCGUACCUGCGGACCUGCGGAAGGAUCAUUACCGAGUUUACAACUCCCAAACCCCUGUGAACAUACCUAUACGUUGCCUCGGCGGAUCAGCCCGCGCCCCGUAAAAAGGGACGGCCCGCCCGAGGACCCCUAAACUCUGUUUUUAGUGGAACUUCUGAGUAAAACAAACAAAUAAAUCAAAACUUUUAACAACGGAUCU
rnacentral:misc_RNA from 1 species